AUAUUCUUUUGUUUAUUGUUAAAGUCUGUGUCACUAGUUAAUAUUAAUUUUCGUUUCAUUUCCAGCCGAACCUAAAUAUUCGAGACUGGCCUUAUGUCGUCGCCGGAUUGGCUUAAGUCUGGCAGUGGGAGGAGUUUACAUUGCAAGAGAAACUUUACAAUUGACACUGGUUGGAUACCAGCGUUAGAUAUGUGACGAUGAUUAGAUGCAGUAUAUACUGACUACUGGAAGGCUUUUGAUAAGAUAAGAAUAAAAAAAUUGUAAACUAUGAUUGAAUUGUCCAUGAGUUGUACAAGCCAGGGCUACUACGACUAAACCGAAUAAUAGCGACGGCCUUCGUUCCCAAGAUGGAGAAGUGGACAGAAAGAAACUUGGCAGUAUUAGCUUCUGUGAUAAGAUGGCAAUCAAAAGAUGAGCAUAACAAACUGACGAAGCAGGAAGCAAAUCAGCGUGUCAACUACCGCCUAACAAAGAACAAAUCGGUGUGGCCGACGUAUACGUGUUUCUUGUUUUGGAACUACGAAUUACGAUACACGCAAAUGCAAAUAGACCAUGAAUGUUAGUUUUGUAGUAGUUAAACCUGGAAAAAUAAUAAUUAGUCCAUUACAUUUGAUUGGCUAUCGAAUUACGAGUAGGAUCAUUGUGGCAACAGUGGAACACACUUUUUUUUAAAAUCAACAUAGCUUCGUAACUACACUAGCUACAGACGUUAAAUUAUAAUGAAGGAAAGAUAGAUUUCUUGGCUCCAUUUUGGUCAAACAGUUUUUUAAAUACAUAUUUUGGUUUUUUAUUGAUAAAAAAGUAAAAAAAAAAAAAAGGUUCUGACUUACUGUGUCCUUAGAUGAAUACACAGUGGGUCAACUCUGAGUGCACAGUGGAUCAAAAGUAUACUGGAUUAUAAAAAGAUUUUUAUUUUAA